rnacentral:rRNA from 1 species
UCCCGUAACGGGGGCUUUCCUUCGGGACAGCAGAGACAGGUGGUGCAUGGUUGUCGUCAGCUCGUGUCGUGAGAUGUUGGGUUAAGUCCCGCAACGAGCGCAACCCCUAUCUUUAGUAGCCAGCAUUCCGGAUGGGCACUCUAGAGAGACUGCCAGGGACAACCUGGAGGAAGGCGGGGAUGACGUCAAAUCAUCAUGCCCCUUAUGGCCAGGGCUACACACGUGCUACAAUGGCGUAAACAAAGGGAGGCAGAAUCGUGAGAUGGAGCAAAUCCCAAAAAUAACGUCCCAGUUCGGAUUGUAGUCUGCAACCCGGCUACAUGAAGCUGGAAUCGCUAGUAAUCGCGGAUCAGAAUGCCGCGGUGAAUACGUUCCCGGGUCUUGUACACACCGCCCGUCACACCAUGGGAGCCGGAAAUGCCCGAAGUCAGUGACCCAACCGCAAGGAGGGAGCUGCCGAAGGUGGAGCCGGUAACUGGGGUGAAGUCGUAACAAGGUAACCGU